rnacentral:lncRNA from 1 species
UUCCUUGCCAUUGUAUUGAUCUGGGGAGUCCUCCAUCUUAAAAACUGCCAUGUCAGGGAUGGCGGGAAAGAUGUUCUUGCCUAGUUUUUACUAUUUCUCUAGCCUGCAGAGAAGCAAAAAGAAUGCAUUAUUUCAUGACUUCUACACUGAAUCACUUUCUCAUUUAUUUUCACAGGGAAAAAUCAAACAAAAGCACAUGAUAUAUACAUGAGUAAUCAACAUGUAUACAAGAUGCACCCUGCUAUCUGCUAUAAUUUGGCACCAGAGACUAUCCAGUGCUUGCUAUCUGCUCAAACAUUGUGCCAAAAAAUGCUAACAUUCCAGGGAGCAGUAAACAAUACUCUGAAGAAAAUACUAGUACGUUCAGAGCAAAAAUUUGAACUCAAAAAGCCUGCAUGUAGAUACGCAAAAAAACAGCAAACCUGCAUCCGCAAAAGAAAAUUCAGUUCCGAAAAAAGACUCCACUAAAACAUGUAUGUAUAUUUCUAGCAACGUUAUAUAUCCACUCUCCAAUACCACUUCCCCUGUCUUAUUUGUGCCGUGCGGGGAGAGCCAUGUUAAUAUCUCUGUGCCCGGCUGGCCACAACCUACUUAACAUCAACCGCGACAAAGAAACUUGCCCACUGUAAAUAGUCUCUGGUGCAUCAGCUUGAAAAAGGGAUCCACCGCGACAGAGAAACUUGCCCACUGUAAAUAGUCUCUGGUGCAUCAGCUCAAAAAAGGGAUCCACCACGACAGAGAAACUUGCCCGUUGUAAAUAGUCUCUGCUGCAUCAGCUCGAAAAAGGGAUCCACCGCAUCAGAGAGAGAUGCCCACUGUAAACUUGCCCCACGACCUACUGAACAUCAACAGCAAAACAGAGCCACAUUGCUCGGCUUGCCACUGAAUUGACCACUGUAAGUAGUAGCAUUGUCUACUUAACAUGAACCAUGAAUGAGAAACUUGCCUCCACCUGGAGGAAACCAAAUGCUACAAAAGUGCCCACUGUAAGUGGUAACAUUGCCUACUCAAAAGUGCUUGGGAUCAUCAGGGACGGGAUAGGGAAAACCUGAAAACACUACACUGUAAAUAUUGAAGUGAGAAAUAUUGCCUGUAAAACAAAACUGCUAUAGAUUUGCAGCAAAAUCUGCACAAAAUUGCUUGUAAAACUAAACUGCUACAGAUUCGCAGCAAAAUCUGCACAAAAUUGCCCACUAUAACCUGACAUUUGCUUACCUAUCGGUGGAAAACAGACCUGCAGCGUACAAAGCACCUAUCAUGAGAUCGGUUCCUUGCCUGCGAUGCACUACACAAAAAAUCGCUAUUGGUCCAAAACAAAC